rnacentral:rRNA from 1 species
UGCUCUUAUGAAGUUAGCGGCGGACGGGUGAGUAACACGUGGGUAACCUGCCCAUAAGACUGGGAUAACUCCGGGAAACCGGGGCUAAUACCGGAUAACAUUUUGAACUGCAUGGUUCGAAAUUGAAAGGCGGCUUCGGCUGUCACUUAUGGAUGGACCCGCGUCGCAUUAGCUAGUUGGUGAGGUAACGGCUCACCAAGGCAACGAUGCGUAGCCGACCUGAGAGGGUGAUCGGCCAC